AACACUCAACAGAGCCUGGCUGGGGAUGGAAGAGAUGACCAGUCUGUCUGGUGAUGCCGACCUUUUCUGGGAAAUAACUGGUUUCUUGCUGGGGAACAGGAUUUGUAACCGGACUUGUUGGAAAGCAUGGUUAGACCUUAUCCUCGAUCCUGAAGUCUUUUAGUAACUGCCAUUGCUAUUUUAUGCAUGUAUUUUUGGUAAACCUCAGUCAUGUUCAAAUGCAUAUAUCCAUUCAAGUUAAAUCAAUGGACGUUUACG
rnacentral:lncRNA from 1 species